rnacentral:tRNA from 1 species
AAUGGUGUAUUUUAAUAAAAAUAUCACUCUGCAAAGGUGAAGUUACUUUUAAUCGAGUUACCAUUU